GCCCAAGUGGAAAGUCAGCUCAGCAGAAGGGGAAGUGAAGGAAGAGCCCAAGAGGAGAUUCUUGCAAUUGUCAUCUAAACCUGCUCCUACAAAAGCAGAAAUGAAGCCAAAAAAGGCAGUCAUGAAAGGAUAAAUCUUCAGACACAAAGUGCAAACCGAAGGGAAAAGGAGAACAAAAGGAAAACUGGCCAAAGUGGCUAACCAAUAAACUAAAGAAGACUUAUCUGCAGAAAACAAAGAAACUAAAACCAAAGAGGGUCCUGCCUUUGAUGAAGGCUGAGGGAAAGAAGCCAAG
rnacentral:lncRNA from 1 species